UACAGUACCAGAUGUAUUGAUGGGUUUAGGCUCACAGACGGGGAAGGAAUGAAAAGGCUGUGGUCUUUCCUCCAAAGAUUUGCCAGAGUCACAAAGGAGAUGACUCCAUCUCAUCGCCUUGACCUACUGACUGAUGUCCGCCUUGAUGGAGGAAAUCAACUGACCUAGAGGUGCAGCUCCUGCAAAGAGUAGACAAAGCAGAGAAAAUAUUGCUCAAGAAGAUAUCUCAUCUGUCAUCAGAGAGGCACCAGUGUUGAUUUCUGAAGGAGACAUGGCGAGAUGGAAAAAAGCUAGCCCAACAGAAACCAAUAAACACUGUCUGUAGAUGGAAAAGGGACUACAUCAUCAGACUGAUUCAGUUCUACAAGUUCAAAAUUGAGGACUCUGCUGAACAUUGAGGAAGAAUACCGUAUUGGGAGAAGAUGGCAAGAGUCUGAUUCAAACUUCCAGUCUACGCUUAAAGAUGUGGCUAGAGCUGAAUCAAGG